rnacentral:rRNA from 1 species
UACGGGGGGGGCAAGCGUUGUUCGGAAUUACUGGGCGUAAAGGGCCCGUAGGCGGCCAACUAAGUCAUACGUGAAAUCCCUCGGCUUAACCGGGGAACUGCGUCUGAUACUGGAUGGCUUGAGGUUGGGAGAGGGAUGCGGAAUUCCAGGUGUAGCGGUGAAAUGCGUAGAUAUCUGGAGGAACACCGGUGGCGAAGGCGGCAUCCUGGACCAAUUCUGACGCUGAGGAGCGAAAGCCAGGGGAGCAAACGGG